AAAACGACUCUCGGCAACGGAUAUCUCGGCUCUCGCAUCGAUGAAGAACGUAGCAAAAUGCGAUACCUGGUGUGAAUUGCAGAAUCCCGUGAACCAUCGAGUUUUUGAACGCAAGUUGCGCCCGAGGCCUUCUGGUUGAGGGCACGCCUGCCUGGGCGUCACGC
rnacentral:rRNA from 1 species